AUUUAAUUUAAGGCAGAAUGUAUACUACUUGCACGAAUACUUGAUUGUCUAAGACACAAUCAUUAAUAUACCAGCAAGCACUUCGUUAUCUUUUUUUUUUUUUUUUUUGUGAUACUGUAUUACUUAGAAUUUAUUUGAAAAAAAUGUUUCUAUCAUAUCGAAUGUUUAAGAUGUAGGUGUUCUUACGUUUAUACCUCGUAUAUCAUUGACUUUAUUCUAUUGACUUCAAUAUAUGAUAUUAGAUUACAAUUCAGUGAUUGAAACAGAGGCUGAAUUCCAAUUGUUUAUUUCAUUUUUUGGCUAACGGAUUUGUUGAAUUGGGGUGCAGUCUAAACUACAAAGACUCAAACCAGCUGACUCAAUAAUGUAAUAUUAAAUUUUCAGCAUUAAGCUUAAAAAAUGAUAUUCAUCACCCCAGUUUCUGAAUUCAGGUUUGAAGUUCGAUCAAAUGAGGAUUAAUGUUUGAAAACCGAGCAUUUUGCAAUCUACUUUAAAUUACC